GCGAGAUUUGUCGGCGCAGGCGCAGUGAGCAGGAUGAGUCUUGGAGAAGUGCUGGUACUUAGUACCCUUGAGUGCCGGCAGAGGAAAAGCCUUGUUUUGAUGGCUUUAAAAGUUUCGUGCUGCAGCCUGUGAUUGCUGCUCGAGCUUAUGAGCCGCGGCUUGGAGGCCAGAUCCCCCCGCGGGGCCAGCGCACGGUGCCGGGGCUCUCACAUUUAGCUGGAGAUAAAGUAUCAUGCGAGUUAAGUGAGGUGAGAGCUAUCCCAGAGGAGCCCAAUGAGUGGAAUACAGUCUGCGGCCUCGGACAGGUUUCAUGCAAGAAAACCAACCAGGCACGGGAGCAUUUUAGGCAGCGACGCAGCAGAUAAGAAGCAGAAGUUUGAACGAAGUUCAUCCCAUGACGUUGGAUUGCAUGACUUUGACC